rnacentral:rRNA from 1 species
UGGGGAAUUUUCCGCAAUGGGCGAAAGCCUGACGGAGCAACGCCGCGUGAGGGAGGAAGGCUUUUGGGUUGUAAACCUCUUUUCUCAAGGAAGAUAGUGACGGUACUUGAGGAAUCAGCAUCGGCUAACUCCGUGCCAGCAGCCGCGGUAAUACGGGGGAUGCAAGCGUUAUCCGGAAUAAUUGGGCGUAAAGCGUUCGUAGGUGGUUUUGUAAGUCUGCUGUUAAAGCGUGUAGCUCAACUACAUAUAGGCAGUGGAAACUACAAAACUUGAGUGCGUUCGGGGCAGAGGGAAUUCCUAGUGUAGCGGUGAAAUGCGUAGAGAUUAGGAAGAACACCGGUGGCGAAAGCGCUCUGCUAGGCCGCAACUGACACUGAGGGACGGAAGUGUGGGGAGCAAACCGGAUUAGAUACCCGUGUAGUCC